UUUCUGUGAUGGUGAGGAAGAACCUAUGGAGAAAAAGGAGCAGGAGAUGAGCCUGGCUGAGCAAGAGGAACAUCCUGUCCCUGUGGAAAUAAGCACUGACUCAAGCAUCCCAAUACUGUCUGAAUUGGGAAAUAACGACCAAAUGGAGGACGAAGUGCAAAUUGGAAACAAGGAUCAGGGAGAGGCCCAAGGAAUGAACUUGUUUGGCCAAGCAGAAACUCACUGCAACAACUUUUAUCACAAGAGAAGGGUGUCUGAUCUUACCUAUGAUCAAAUUAACACCUACCUCAGCUACAAUAACA